CGGAGGAUGCGGGGAAGCUUGCUUUCCUGCAAACUUAGUGGCGGACGGGUGAGUAACGCGUGGAUAACCUGCCUGUAAGACUGGGAUAACACCGGGAAACCGGUGCUAAUACUGGAUAAACUGUAGGAUGGGCAUCCGACCUACAGAAAAGGGAUAACUCCGCUUACAGAUGGAUCCGCGUCCCAUUAGCUAGCUGGUAGGGUAACGGCCUACCAGGGCGACGAUGGGUAGCCGGCCUGAGAGGGUGGACGGCCACACUGGGACUGAGACACGGCCCAGACUCCUACGGGAGGCAGCAGUGGGGAAUAUUGCGCAAUGGGGGAAACCCUGACGCAGCGACGCCGCGUGAGCGAAGAAGGCCUUAGGGUUGUAAAGCUCUGUUGUAAGGGAAGAAAGGCAACCGGAGUAAUAUGCUGGUUGUAUGACGGUACCUUACGAGGAAGCCCCGGCUAACUACGUGCCAGCAGCCGCGGUAAGACGUAGGGGGCGAGCGUUGUCCGGAAUUACUGGGCGUAAAGAGCACGUAGGCGGAUAUUUAAGUCAGUUGUGAAAGACCGCGGCUCAACCGCGGGGUUGCAAUUGAAACUGGGUAUCUUGAGGGCAGGAGAGGUCAGUGGAAUUCCUGGUGUAGCGGUGAAAUGCGUAGAAAUCAGGAGGAACACCAGUGGCGAAGGCGGCUGACUGGACUGGCCCUGACGCUGAGGUGCGAAAGCGUGGGUAGCAAACAGGAUUAGAUACCCUG
rnacentral:rRNA from 1 species